rnacentral:tRNA from 1 species
GGGGCUAUAGCUCAGUGGUAAAGUGCUUGCCUCACAUGUAUGAGGCACUGGGUUCCAUCCUUAGCACCA